AAGUAUAUGAUGACAUACCAAUGUCCCAAAAAGAGCUGAUGACAUAGUAAUUAUGGUCAAUUAGAUAACGUUGAAGCUC
rfam:Mesocricetus auratus contig197549, whole genome shotgun sequence.